ensembl:snRNA U6 U6 spliceosomal RNA
GUGCUUGUUUUGGCAACACAUAUGCUAAAAUUGGAAUGAUGCAGGAAGAUUAGCGUGGCCCCUGCACAAAGAUGACACGUAAAGUCAUGAAGAGUUCCACAAUUUU